AACGAACGCUGGCGGCAGGCUUAACACAUGCAAGUCGAACGCCCCGCAAGGGGAGUGGCAGACGGGUGAGUAACGCGUGGGAAUCUACCCAGAUCUUCGGAACAACUGAGGGAAACUUCAGCUAAUACCGGAUACGCCCUACGGGGGAAAGAUUUAUCGGUUCUGGAUGAGCCCGCGUUGGAUUAGCUAGUUGGUGGGGUAAUGGCCUACCAAGGCGACGAUCCAUAGCUGGUCUGAGAGGAUGAUCAGCCACACUGGGACUGAGACACGGCCCAGACUCCUACGGGAGGCAGCAGUGGGGAAUAUUGGACAAUGGGCGAAAGCCUGAUCCAGCCAUGCCGCGUGAGUGAUGAAGGCCUUAGGGUUGUAAAGCUCUUUCAGUAGGGAAGAUAAUGCCGGUACCUACAGAAGAAGCCCCGGCUAACUUCGUGCCAGCAGCCGCGGUAACAC
rnacentral:rRNA from 1 species